ACUCCUGCGGGAGGCAGCAGUGGGGAAUUUUGGACAAUGGGCGAAAGCCUGAUCCAGCAAUGCCGCGUGCAGGAUGAAGGCCUUCGGGUUGUAAACUGCUUUUGUACGGAACGAAAAAGCUCCUUCUAAUACAGGGGGCCCAUGACGGUACCGUAAGAAUAAGCACCGGCUAACUACGUGCCAGCAGCCGCGGUAAUACGUAGGGUGCGAGCGUUAAUCGGAAUUACUGGGCGUAAAGCGUGCGCAGGCGGUUAUGUAAGACAGAUGUGAAAUCCCCGGGCUCAACCUGGGAACUGCAUUUGUGACUGCAUGGCUAGAGUACGGUAGAGGGGGAGGGAAUUCCGCGUGUAGCAGUGAAAUGCGUAGAUAUGCGGAGGAACACCGAUGGCGAAGGCAAUCCCCUGGACCUGUACUGACGCUCAUGCACGAAAGCGUGGGGAGCAAACAGGAUUAGAUACCCGAGUAGUCCCAUG
rnacentral:rRNA from 1 species